GCGCCAGACUCCUACGGGAGGCAGCAGUGGGGAAUAUUGCACAAUGGGGGAAACCCUGAUGCAGCGACGCCGCGUGAGUGAAGAAGUAUUUCGGUAUGUAAAGCUCUAUCAGCAGGGAAGAAAAUGACGGUACCUGACUAAGAAGCCCCGACUAACUACGUGCCAGCAGCCGCGGUAAUACGUAGGGGGCAAGCGUUAUCCGGAUUUACUGGGUGUAAAGGGAGCGUAGACGGCAUGGCAAGUCAGAUGUGAAAGCCCGGGGCUCAACCCCGGGACUGCAUUGGAAACUGUCCGGCUAGAGUGCAGGAGAGGUAAGUGGAAUUCCUAGUGUAGCGGUGAAAUGCGUAGAUAUUAGGAGGAACACCAGUGGCGAAGGCGGCUUACUGGACUGUAACUGACGUUGAGGCUCGAAAGCGUGGGGAGCAAACAGGAUUAGAUACCCGCGUAA
rnacentral:rRNA from 1 species